CAGGGCCUUGGCUCUCCUGUUGCUGCUGCCCUUCUACCUGCCGACCGGCACUGGUGCUUCCCCCUGUGGCCCUGCAUGAUAUGUGCGGUGCACCUGGUUUCCAGGACCUACCCUUCCCCAGAUGAUGGUAUUAUCUUGAUUUUAGUGAGGAGUUAUAGGAAGGGAGGGGAAGACCCUGCCUACCUGCCUGGAGCUCUCCAAGCCAGACGCCAACUUCCACGCCUCGCAGAAAGAAGGCUCCAGGCUCUACACAAGCACAGCACCACGAGUUUUGCAGGCCCCAACCCACAGUUGCUGAAGCCGCUGCUAGGGCAAUGAAGACGGAGACCCUCCUUAAAAAAAACUUUACAAAAUUAUUUUAAUUACUGUGUGGACCUUGUAACUCGAUCAAGGCACAGUCAUCUGUACUCUCCUGCAGCAAAUAUUCUUGAAAUCCCACCAGUGUA